CCUACGGGGGGCUGCAGUGAGGAAUAUUGGUCAAUGGACGAGAGUCUGAACCAGCCAAGUAGCGUGAAGGAUGACUGCCCUAUGGGUUGUAAACUUCUUUUAUAUGGGAAUAAAAUGUUCCACGUGUGGGAUUUUGUAUGUACCAUAUGAAUAAGGAUCGGCUAACUCCGUGCCAGCAGCCGCGGUAAUACGGAGGAUCCGAGCGUUAUCCGGAUUUAUUGGGUUUAAAGGGAGCGUAGGUGGAUUGUUAAGUCAGUUGUGAAAGUUUGCGGCUCAACCGUAAAAUUGCAGUUGAAACUGGCAGUCUUGAGUACAGUAGAGGUGGGCGGAAUACGUGGUGUAGCGGUGAAAUGCUUAGAUAUCACGAAGAACUCCGAUUGCGAAGGCAGUUCACUGGACUGCAACUGACACUGAGGCUCGAAAGUGUGGGUAUCAAACAGGAUUAGAUACCCUAGUAGUC
rnacentral:rRNA from 1 species